rnacentral:rRNA from 1 species
GCGAGCGGCGGAUGGGUGAGUAACACGUGGGGAACCUGCCCCUAAGUCUGGGAUACCAUUUGGAAACAGGUGCUAAUACCGGAUAAUAAAGCAGAUCGCAUGAUCAGCUUUUGAAAGGCGGCGUAAGCUGUCGCUAAGGGAUGGCCCCGCGGUGCAUUAGCUAGUUGGUAAGGUAACGGCUUACCAAGGCGACGAUGCAUAGCCGAGUUGAGAGACUGAUCGGCCACAUUGGGACUGAGACACGGCCCAAACUCCUACGGGAGGCAGCAGUAGGGAAUCUUCCACAAUGGACGCAAGUCUGAUGGAGCAACGCCGCGUGAGUGAAGAAGGUUUUCGGAUCGUAAAGCUCUGUUGUUGGUGAAGAAGGAUAGAGGUAGUAACUGGCCUUUAUUUGACGGUAAUCAACCAGAAAGUCACGGCUAACUACGUGCCAGCAGCCGCGGUAAUACGUAGGUGGCAAGCGUUGUCCGGAUUUAUUGGGCGUAAAGCGAGCGCAGGCGGAAAAAUAAGUCUAAUGUGAAAGCCCUCGGCUUAACCGAGGAACUGCAUCGGAAAACUGUUUUUCUUGAGUGCAAAAGAGGAGAGUGGAACUCCAUGUGUAGCGGUGGAAUGCGUAGAUAUAUUGGAAAGAACACCAGUGGCGAAAGGCGGCUCUCUGGUCUGCAACUGACGCUGAGGCUCCGAAAGCAUGGGU